AGCCUCGUAGUGUUAUGUAACACGUUGAAUUGCAAAUUCGAAGAAGCAGCUUUAAUCCUGCCGGGGCUU
rnacentral:tRNA from 1 species